rnacentral:tRNA from 1 species
GGGGAUGUGGCUCAAGUUGUAGUGCCCUCGCCUAGCACGCGUGAGGCACUGAGUUCAAUUCUCAGCACCACG